rnacentral:rRNA from 1 species
GAUGAACGCUGGCGGCGUGCCUAAUACAUGCAAGUCGAGCGAACAGACGAGGAGCUUGCUCCUCUGACGUUAGCGGCGGACGGGUGAGUAACACGUGGAUAACCUACCUAUAAGACUGGGAUAACUUCGGGAAACCGGAGCUAAUACCGGAUAAUAUAUUGAACCGCAUGGUUCAAUAGUGAAAGACGGUUUUGCUGUCACUUAUAGAUGGAUCCGCGCCGCAUUGGCUAGUUGGUAAGGUAAAGGCUUACCAAGGCAACGAUGCGUAGCCGACCUGAGAGGGUGAUAGGCCACACUGGAACUGAGACAGGGUCCAGACUCCUACGGGAGGCAGCAGUAGGGAAUCUUCCGCAAUGGGCGAAAGCCUGACGGAGCGACGCCGCGUGAGUGAUGAAGGUCUUCGGAUCGUAAAACUCUGUUAUUAGGGAAGAACAAAUGUGUAAGUAACUAUGCACGUCUUGACGGUACCUAAUCAGAAAGCCACGGCUAACUACGUG